rfam:Triticum urartu cultivar G1812 contig422773, whole genome shotgun sequence.
UUUCUACACCCUUUGUCCGGAAAUACUUAUCGGAGGAAUGGAUGUAUCUAGACAUAUCUUAGUUUUAGAUACAUUAAUUUUUAUCAAUUUCUCCAACAAGUAUUUCCGGACGGAGAGAGUAUUUU